GUUGCUUUCGCUUAGUGGUUAAGGCAUGUGCCUGCUAAGUACAUGGGGUUUCCUUGUGAGAGUUUGAAUGUCUCUGGCAACU
rnacentral:tRNA from 1 species